UACGGGGGGGGCAAGCGUUGUUCGGAAUUACUGGGCGUAAAGGGCUCGUAGGUGGCCAACUAAGUCAGACGUGAAAUCCCCAGGCUCAACUUGGGAACUGCGUCUGAUACUGGGCGGCUUGAAUUCGGGAGAGGGAUGCAGAAUUCCAGGUGUAGCGGUGAAAUGCGUAGAUAUCUGGAGGAAUACCGGUGGCGAAGGCGGCAUCCUGGACCGAGAUUGACACUGAGGAGCGAAAGCUAGGGGAGCAAACGGGAUUAGAAACCCUAGUAGUCC
rnacentral:rRNA from 1 species